rnacentral:lncRNA from 1 species
AUGUGCAAAUAUGAAGUAAAUGGGGCAAAAUCUUAAUAAGAAGUGAAUGUAGGUGGUGAAGCCCCCUAAUGUCCUGACUCCACAGUUCCUGUCCCAUGACCAGGGCCAGCUCACCAAAGAGCUAUAGCAGCACAUAAAGUCAGUGACAGGCCCAUGCAAGUACCAAAGGAAGCCAAGACUGACCAUGAGGAACACUUGGAGCUCAGGAAGGAAAGAUCAGCCCAGAAGCAGGGACAGGGAGCUGGUUGGGGAGGAUGAGAAGUCAGAAGGUCUGCGAAGUUUCCAGAGAGGACCUGUCUUUGGGAUGGCGCAUCAGGGGUUCAGGUGGGGGAGGGGGUGUUGGAAGAAUGUGGACAUCACAUGGAAUGCCCACUGUGAGGCACUAUGGUACCAGGACCGAGGAUUGGUGGAGAGGAAGUAUAAAGCCCCAGGGUUGCUAAGGUAGCGCCCAGACAGGAGAAGGUUUGGUAGAAACCAGAGCCCUGGUCUCCCUCCAACUGCUCCUGAGCCUCCUGCUCCCCUGCCCCACUCCUCCUGCUGUUUUGCUGAUAGACUUUUUCACUGACCUAUAGCUGAACCUUCCACCAGCACUUGAAGACUUAGUUUUAACUGGAUCCUUUCCCAGGGUUCCUUCUUUUUCUUCCUCCUCCUUCUUCUCCAGCCCCCCACCGCCCUGCUCCUCCAGGCCCCCCACAGUCCCCCUUGCCUUCCCUCCCCUCCCAAUCCCUUUCCCUCCCCUCCCCCUCCCCAACUGCAGUCCCACCCCCAGUCCCCAUCCCCUUUCCUCCCUUAGCCCUAAACCACCCUCACCUCUGUCCUGGCCUCCUCAGGGGGCCCUGAGAAAACCAGGACAUGCGGGUCCAGUGGCUGCUGUUUUGGCUCCUCCUGCUUGGGUUUCCCAGCCAUCAAUCCACCCAUCUGGCACAGGAUUGACUCCUGGUGGAACCCAACUCAGUGAUCUGUGCAGUGUGGUGUUUUCCAAACUGGCCAAGGUGUCUGCAGGGCCCUCAGAAUUUUCCAAGCAAGAAAAGAUUUGGCUACUUGGAGAAACUUCAUCCUUCUGGAGGCAUCACCUCCAGAAUCUACUUGAAGUGGAUGACACUGACUUCCAUGAACUGUUUUCCUUUUGCUGAGGGUGAUGGCUUCCAACUCCAUCCAUGUCCCUGCAGAGGAGAUGAUCUCAUUCCUUUUUAUGGCUGUAUAGUAUUCCAUGGUUGUCUGUUCACUCUGAUGAUGGUUCCGUUUGCUGUGUGGAAGCUCUUAAGUUGGAUUAAAUUCCAGUCGUCAAUUUCU